rfam:Gossypium hirsutum cultivar TM-1 chromosome 15, whole genome shotgun sequence
UAUUAAAAAUUUCAUCUAUUUUUACUGUUAAAAACUGACGUGAUUAACAAAAUAACCCUACAAUAUAUCUCAUGCCAACAUACAUGGGCAAAUUUUUAAAAAUAAAAUUAAAUAAAAUUUUUAACA